AAGUUAUAUGGCUGCAAUAUAAUGAAACAAUAUACAACUUUACAUUGUUUUCAUUUCAGGUUGUAUAUUUGGAUAUAAAAGCUUAAUUGAUGUCACAUAACGGCUUCUAUAAAACAUCUGAUAAAUCCUGUUUAGGAAGACAUAUAUUCUGUUCAUGACUUAUAUUU